UUCACGUCUUCGCUCGUGACAGCGUUUUCCGACAACAAGCUGACCACAGUACGUUUCUCUCUCUUCCUCUAGGUUUUUCUAUGAAAAGCAACUGAACUUUUUCCAAGAGAAGGCUGGAUUACUUGAAAGUUAGGCACAAGGAACAGACGCAGUAUGUUUUUUAGGGCCCUGGUGGACGUUUCAUUAAAACAGGAAGUGCUAGAGGAGGGGGUGAGGGGAUGACCAGCCAACAGAAAACAAACCGCUGUUAUGGGGAGGUGGCGUUGUCCCUUGGGUGGCCUCCUGGAGGUGGUUUGGGAGGACGGUCCCGAUGACCUCUCCACCCUUGUUCCCAAUACAGUCUUUCUUCCUCUUGGGCUCCCAUCAUGUCACUGGGGCCAAGCAACGGCUCGGGGUGACCCUCCUUCUGACCUCUGUUGCCUGACUCCUGGGGCAUCUUCUCCCUUGGGUUUUCUCCCAGCAACUCCCCGGAGCUGCUCAUUGGGAGCCCGUAAAUACCUCUCUUGACAAGGUCCCGAUAGAAGGCAGUCCAUUGGAUAGGUAACUUUUAAGAGAGGUCUGGUCUUUUCGUCGACAGCUGUGUAGACAUGUAAUCAUUGUGUGCCAGAUCUUGUUUCAGAGGUAUUACCAAGAGCCAUAGCAACAAUCCCCAGCUCACACACAGACAGCAUCAAUACAUCGAUGCACUGUUUCUCAUAAUGCUUGAUGGAAAUGGAUGAAUCUGGUUGCUUAAUCAGGAGAGCUGCUGGAGGCUAAGGAAGUGGCACUGAGAAAUGUAUUAUGCAACACCUCGCAUAAUGUCAUCCACACAGGUUAGGCAGUUUGCUGUAAGCCCCCAGGACAGGAUGCUAAUCUAUCGCAGAAUCUGGAUAUACCAUUGAAAACACAGUCUAGGACAGAAUUUGAGAUUACACACUAUUAGAUCACUAUCCAGAAAGUCUGUUCUGAUCCUGAGGAGUUCAGAGGACUUCCACAAUUGGCAAAUUGGCAUGAAAGGUUCAGCUCAAAAAAGGUUGUUGCAGAAAAAAGAUUGAAUUCAAAUGGAUUUACUUGAGACGUAACACCUUCUGAGCUGUGGCCAACAAGUAAUAUGUCAACCCUUGGAGGAGUAAAUGAGUUUCUUGACACAACAGGGGAGGAAACUGUGUGGGUUCAAACCAGUUAGUUGGCCCAUCACAUGACGACUCUUCCAUCCCUGCUAUCACUUUCUCAAACAGCCCUGAUUAUACCCCCAGCCUAAUUACGCCUGGCUUAGAUAUUAUGACUGGGAUGGGCUUCAAAGCAUCACAGAUGCACAACGUCUCACUUACCACAACCCAAUGGGGCUUUAGGCGGUGGACUUCAAAGCAUGGGAGCAACAGCAACAGAAGCAUAGACGCACACACACAAAUCCCUGACCCCAUGGAACCAACAUCAGAAAGUGAACACAAAGCAGGACGAGCAGGAUGAGAUGUCUAAUCUCGUGCAUACGAUAUGCUGUCCUGCUCAUUGUGUGGGUGUGUGUGUGUGUGUGUGUGUAUGUGUAAGUGUGGUUUACUCCUUCCUAUUACAUCCAAUGGAUGACAAACCAGACCGGAUUUUUUUGAACUUGUAAUCUUUGGAUAUCCAGUUUCCCCUUUAAUAUAAUGAGCUGUACAAUAUUUCCCCUGGAAAUUGGUAUGGGCCUUCUGUGGUUCUACAGUCUAUGGAUG